UUCAGCAAACCACUUGCAGAUCAAAGAUCCUUGAAGAGAUAUGGAGUCUGAAACAAAGAGCAAUAAUGACAGAGGCGAACAUAGACACAACAUGUAUUUUGAAAUUAAGGAUACAUUUUCGUGUGUUACAAAGGAAAAGGACGCACCCUUAAAUAUACGACUUGUCAAACCAACGAAAAAGGAAAACCAGUGGCUCUUGUCUGCAUGUAUUCGUCAGCAUUGAAAUCGUCAGCGUGGGAGCCCCAUAAUGCAACGGAUGCUGUUUCACUGCACCCAAAUCAUUUAAGAUCAGAUUAUGAUUUGCACCCAAAUCAUAAUGUACCUGAACAGACCGUGUUGUCUUUGUCCCUUUCUCUCAAUGUUUGGAAUGGCACCAAACUGCAUGCAUACCUAGGGAAAUCCAAGGGUAACGGUGAUAUCUCAGUAACAUUAGUAUACCUUGCCAUUAUGGGUUUGUCCAUAGCAUGAUAUGUAUCUCGUGCUUGAGCAACGACACGGAAAUAUCUUAUGUAAUAUUCUCGUAUUUUCGGCAUGAAAGCAGGAAUCCACUCUUGCUGAAUCUCAGCAUCCAUUCCAUUGUAUCAGACUGUGGAGAAGGCAUAAUCAGUGACAAAUUUGAAUACAGAACUUUAAUGAUGGAAACAGAUUUUGAAAAGUGUGAUUACCUCUUCAUCGAGCAUGACAAAGUUAAGCCUGAUUAUGUUCGUAGGAUCGCGGCUGUCCAAAUGUGUUGUUAUCCAUGUUACUCUGACCUUUACCAUCCAUCGAUGGGACUGUUCAUGAACAUGCCUAAGAAGAACGGGUUCCAUGCCGAUGACAGCCACAGUCGUUAUGAAUACUGAGUAGUCGAUUGAGG
rnacentral:lncRNA from 1 species